rnacentral:rRNA from 1 species
AUUGAACGCUGGCGGCAGGCCUAACACAUGCAAGUCGAACGGUAGCACAGAGAGCUUGCUCUCGGGUGACGAGUGGCGGACGGGUGAGUAAUGUCUGGGAAACUGCCCGAUGGAGGGGGAUAACUAAUGGAAACUUGGAUUAAUACCACAUAUUAUAUUGAUGAGGCAUCUCGUUGAUAUCAAAGUUUCGGCGGUAACUGAUGGGCGUGCGGUUGAUUAGGUAGUUGGCGGGGUAACGGCCCACCAAGCCUACGAUCAAUAGCUGAUGUGAGAGCAUGAUCAGCCACACGGGCACUGAGACACGGGCCCGACUCCUACGGGAGGCAGCAGUAAGGAAUAUUGGGCAAUGGACGAAAGUCUGACCCAGCCAUGCCGCGUGAAGGAUUAAGGUCCUCUGGAUUGUAAACUUCUUUUCUCUGGGGCGAAAACCAGCUAUUCUUAGCUAUUUGACAGUACCAGGGGAAUAAGCACCGGCUAACUCCGUGCCAGCCGCCGCCGUAA